rnacentral:ncRNA from 1 species
GAAACCACAACCAAGGGAAUGGGCUUGGCAUAAUCAAUAGGGAAAGAAGACCUUUUUGAGAUUGAUUGUAGUCUAAAUUUGUGAAAUGAAUUGAGAGUUGUAGAAUAAGUGGGAAUAUUUUUCGGCACAAAUGAAAUACCACUACUUUUAACAUUAUUUUACUUAUAAUUUUGUGGGGAGAAGAGGGGGCAGUUACCCUAUUUUUGGCCUUAAGUCAUGCUCCGAUGGGUCGAUAUGGGUGGAAGACAUUUCCAGAUGGGUAUUUUGUAUGGGUAAACAAAUCUAUCAAAAUAUAGCAUAAAAUAUAAUCGGUGUAGAUAUAACAUUUUUAUUUGGGAGAUCCUAAUGCACAACCACCCUUAUUACCUUUCCCUCCU